rnacentral:misc_RNA from 1 species
GCAUCUAAAAUAGAGAGAUGAAUUUAAGGCUUCAAGCAUUGUUCCAUUAGACAGAAUUUAAUUCCACAAUCAAAUUUAGCUUUCAUAGUAACAAGAACUGAAUUUGAAAGUUGACUCGUAACCCCAAAACCUUAAAGGUUUGAAAAAUAAUUUGCUGGACAUCACUCAAUGGCUUUAUUCCAUAGUGAGCAGCGAGAGAGGAUUCAAGCUGGGUUACAGCAAUUUUAUAUAAUUUGGCGACACAAAUAAAA